rnacentral:rRNA from 1 species
AGCUCUGUAAGCGUAUACCAAAGUUGUUGCAGUUAAAACGCUCGUAGUCGGACAUUGGCAGCUCCGGGAGUGUGCGCGUCGUGUGUGCGCUCUGCGGGGGUUGCUUUUGUGGUAUUGUGUGUGAUGAAGCAUUUUAAUUAAUGAACGUCUAUCGCAACCACUUUUUACUGUGAGAAAAUCAGAGUGUUCAAAGCAGGCAUUUGUCGUGAAUGUAUUAGCAUGGAAUAAUAGAAUAGGACUUGUUUCUAUUUUGUUGGUUUGUUGGGAACGAGUAAUGAUUAAGAGGGACAGUUGGGGGCAUUUGUAUUUGGAGGCUAGAGGUGAAAUUCUUAGAUUCUCCAAAGACAAACUGCUGCGAAAGCGUCUGCCAAGGAUGUUUUCA